ACCUUGGUAAGGGUCUUGAGUAACCUGAUUAGCAGCUUCCUGGGAACAGCAGACACCUGAUCACUUCCUGGGAAAACAUUUAAUUAUUAACUCCCGGGGAGAGCCACCAGGCAAGGCAGAAGGCGCAAGUCCCACCUGCAUUUCAGACAAACAACAAAGACACUUUACUGCAUGUCCCAAAUAAUUGCACGGGACAUUCUUAUACUAAAAAACUCUCUGCUGUUCAUCUGAAAUUCAGGCAGAACUGGGUGCACUGCGUUUUAUCUGGCAACACCAUGGGAGAGCCAGGGGGGCUGGGCUGAGUUCUCUAACCCCGUGAGGACCAGCACACCGGGAGGCUCCGCAGAGAGAAUGAAAGCAAAGCCGAAGACGCAAUCUGAAAUCCUGGCUUCCCCAGGAAAAGCCAGUGCCAGGGUAGCUACUAAUGAGGAGAAAAGAAAAUCAUCACAGUCAAAGCAAGUUCAACAAAAACAGCAUUUUGCUGCUAACUUGCUCCAAGAAAACCUAAAAUCUUCAACUGGCUCAUUCGUCCUCCAGUACCUCUGAUGAAAAGGUAGACAGACUUUUCCACUAAUUAUUUCAGCCACUGUGAAAAUAUGAGAGCUGACCUGGGAGAGAAGAUACAUAAUAAAAACAAACAAAAAACCUCA